rnacentral:rRNA from 1 species
GCCAGGGAUUUCCAUUAGUACGGCGAGUGAACCGGGAUGAGCUCAAAUUUAAAAUCUGGCGUCUUUCAGGCGUCCGAGUUGUAAUCUAUAGAGGCGUUUUCCGCGCCGGACCGCGUCCAAGUCUCUUGGAAUAGAGUAUCAAAGAGGGUGACAAUCCCGUACUUGACGCGACAACCGGUGCUCUGUGAUACGUUCUCAAUGAGUCGAGUUGUUUGGGAAUGCAGCUCUAAAUGGGUGGUAAAUUCCAUCUAAGGCUAAAUAUUGGCGAGAGACCGAUAGCGAACAAGUACCGUGAGGGAAAGAUGAAAAGCACUUUGGAAAGAGAGUUAAACAGCACGUGAAAUUGUUAAAAGGGAAACGAUUGAAGUCAGUCGUGUGAAAGGUAUUCAGCCGUCUCUGGCGGUGUAUUUGCCUUUCACGGGUCAACAUCAGUUUGAUCCGGUAGAAAAAGGCGGGAGGAAGGUGGCACCCUCGGGUGUGUUAUAGCCUCCUGUCAUAUGUGCCGGACCAGACUGAGGAACGCAGCUUGCCGCAAGGCCGGGGUUCGCCCACGUACAAGCUUAGGAUGUUGACAUAAUGGCUUUAAACGACCCGUCUUGAACACCGGACCA